CUGCCGGAGCUUGUUCAAGAUCAGAGUUGAAGAGACAACGCUUUAGCACAAAACCAAUUAAAACAAUCAACAUGCAAUUGAUCAAGAUCUGCGGCUUUGUUUUUGCCAUGAUUGUGGCCCUGGCCAGCGCCGAGCCAGAACCUCAAGGCACGCUGCUGAUACAAACCAACAAUGCUCAGGGCAUUUUCACGGGCUAGAAAUGUUACAAAGAACACAAACAUACCUUAAAAAUAUCUUUUGAUCUAACUUAAACACAAACUUUCCUUAAAAAAUGACAUUAAAAACUCUUAAAACUUAUCUGAAUGCAA
rnacentral:sRNA from 1 species